AUUGAACGCUGGCGGCAGGCCUAACACAUGCAAGUCGAACGAGUGGCGGACGGGUGAGUAAUUUCUGGGAAACUGCCUGAUGGACGGGGCUACCUACUGUAAACGGUAGCUAAUACUGCAUACCAUCAGAUGUGCCCAGAUCGGAUUAGCUUGUUGGUGGGGUAACGGCUCACAAAAGCGACGAUCCCUAACUGGUCUGCGAGGGUGACCAGCCACACUGGAACUGAGACACGGUCCAGACUCCUACGGGAGGCAGCAGUGGGGAAUAUUGCACAAUGGGCGCAAGCCUGAUGCAGCCAUGCCGCGUGUAUGAAGAAGGCCUUCGGGUUGUAAAGUACUGUCAGCAGGGAGGCGUUACCCGAAGAAGAAGCACCGGCUAACUCCGUGCCAGCCGCCGCGGUAAUUC
rnacentral:rRNA from 1 species